GGUCAAACCGGUCGAACGGUUGAACCGGAAUCCGGAAGCUGUACCGGUUCGGCUGCCGGUUCGGGUUUUAAAACACUGGCUGCUACUAACCAGAAGGCCAGCUCAACAUUUAUAGGCUCCUCCAUUUGGCAUUUUGCACACCUUGCAUUUAUGGAUAAAAAUCAAGGCACAUGACUUAUCCCUAAUUCUAGAAGAUUCUUGGAGUCUAUAUAUAUCUCUUCAUCAACCAUUUAUCAAGCGUGGGAGCAUCAAGAGAGAAAAUCAUCACCACCACCAUUGUGCAUCAUAAGUUGGUUUUCCAUCUCAAAGAAACUAGGGCUAGUUUUUAGUGAGAGUUUUUACUAACAAAUAUCUGUAAACACUUGUGAGGAUUAGACUAGCUUCCGGAUAGAACUAGGUCUUCAUUCUCAAAGGGAAAUAGCUUGCUGAAGCUAAACAAAUUAGCUUGUAAGUUACAGACUAACUUCUGGGUAAAACUAGGGUUGCAUUCUUAAGGCUUUAUCUUUAGCCCGUAAUAGAGAUUGAAAAGUGAAAUAAUUAGGGAUGGGGAUCCCUAAGGAGUGGAUGUAGGCAGGGUUGCCGAACCCCUAUAAAAUCUGGUGUCUCAGCUUUAUACUUUUAUUAGCUUGGGGAUCACAUUCAAUGGCAUUGCCUGGUAUUUCUUCUUUAUCUUUGCCAUUAGACAUACAAUGGCAUUGCCUGGUAUUUCUUCUUUAUCUGAGCUGGUUGCUUCGCUGCCACUCCAGGUUGCUUUCAUAGCUCUUUCAAAUCUUCCCUUUCAUGACCCUUUUUUUUAACUUGGGACAAUUAGCUUAUUGAGUCUCCUUCAGGAAUGAAUGCCUUCUUCAUGUCACUUUUGUAUCUCCUUCCACCUUUUCUAAACAUUCUUUGGAAUUUCCGAGUCAUAAGAGCUAUCUCUUCUUCUAAGCUAUUUGAGUCUUCAACCAGGCUGGUUUUCAAAGCUAAGUUGUUUUUCUUUCUUUUAUCAGAAGCUGGUUCUUUUCCCUUUUUCAUUAGCUCAUGAGUGAAAAGGGAGCACAUUAGCUCAUCGAAAAAGUAGUUUUUCAGAUUCUUAGCUUCAAAGAUGGCAGUCACCUUGCUUUCCCAUUUAUCAGUAAGAGAUCUCAAAACCUUUUUCACAAGUUCUUCUCCUCUUAUGUUUUCUCCAAGACUUUUCAUUCCAUUAACUAUGUUUAAAAGCCGAGUACUUUGCUCCUGGAUGAAUUCAUCAGGUUGCAUCUGAAAUAGCUCAUACUCUCUCUUCAGCAUGUUGAUUUUGGAUUCUUUAACCUGAUCUGUUCCUUCAAAGGUGGUUUGUAAUUUCUCCCAUGCUUCUUUGCCGUUAAGCAGCCUCAGAUUCUAUUGUAUUCAUAAGCGUCAAGAGCGCAAUGAAUCAUGUUAAUAGCUUUGGCAUUAAGCUGAACAUUUUUCCAAUCUUCAUCGUUGUAUUCUUUUUAGUUUUAGCUCUUCGGGUUCCAUUGAAUUCAGUAAGCAUUGACGUUGAUACACCUUUUAGGAUGACUCUCCAACAUUCAAUGUCGUAGGCCUGCACAAAGUUUUUCAUUCUAUUUUUCCACCAAUCAUAGUUAGAGAUAAAUCCUAUCAACCUAAACAUUGAUCUUCAUGAUUUAUACAAUGCUCUUUUCAAAGAAUACACAAAAGUGUGUGAAAAAUAUCUUAACCUGAAAGGUAAAUGUAAGGCUGCACAAGCUGAUAGUUCGAUUAAUCAACUUGACCAUGCUGAAGCUAAUCCAACAUAUCAGACUGAGACUGAUCCUACUCAGCCUCCCUGCAACCUGAUCGAAGAGCUUAGACAUGCUAACUCUCAGAUCAAGCUUUUGAAAAUUGAGCAUGGUGUUUCAAACAAAUUUUGUGUUUUUAGAGGAAAUGUUGCUCAAAGCAAACAUGCUUGGAAUGCUAAAGUUAGGCUAACAGCCAAAGCUAACCCAUCAGGACCCAACUUAGCUUGGGUAUCUAAAACUAAUUGAUUCUUGCAGGUUUGCCUAAGGAGCAAGAAGGCAUAUGAUGACUAGUAUGUAGAUGGUGCUUGCUCUAGGCAUAUAACGGGUGACAAAUCGAACCAGCUCAAGCUAAGCAGAAAAGGAAUAGUUAGCUUUGGAACUAUUAUAGCUAAUCACCCUAUUGAAGAUGUAUCUCUAGUCAGUGGACUAUAAUUCAACCUGCUCAGUAUCAAUCAACUUUGUGACAAGAAUAGAAGAGAAACGGUUGGCUAUGGCACAAACGUUUAGGCCAUGCAAGCAUGAAGCUAAUCAGUAAGCUGUCAAUUUAUCAGCUUGUGGAAGGGCUGCUUAGCUUGAAGUUUGAAAAAAGAUAGCAUUUGCGAUGCAUGCCAAAAAGAGAAGCAAACAAAGGCAUCAUUCAAAUCCAAAGGGCAACUAAACUCAAGUAGACUUCUAGAGCUCCUUCAUCUUGAUCUAUUCAUGGAGGAGAAUUAGAUAACAAGCUAUUUGAGGAGCUUUGCAAUGAGAAUGAGAUCACACGCACAACGUUUCAGCUCCAAGAACUCCUCAGCAAAAUGGAGUUGUUUAAGAACAGAACGCUCCAAAAGAUGGCUCGGACAAUGAUCAAUGAAGCUAAGCUACCCAAAUACAUCUGAGCAUAAGCUAUAAGCACAGCCUGUUACAUUCAGAACAGAGCAAUGACUGAGUCAUGGCGGAGAUAGCAAAAUGAUAAUGAAGACGGAACGACGGAGGAGGCAACAAAACGAUGGUGAAGACUAAGUCAUGGCGGAGACAACAAAAUGAUAGUGAAGACUAGCUGAACUAUGGUGAGGCGGAACGGCAACGACGGAGAAGGAAGAACGGCAGCGGCUGAGAAGGCCAAAGCUAUAGAUAGCAAAAUAAUUGCUCUCAUGUCCAUAUUAAAAUGCUUAGCAGAGUGCAAGUUCGAAUCCAUACUUCUAACUCAGAAAAUAAACCGUUGCAUUUCCGAGCUUGGGAGACAAAAGUCGAGCAAUAUAAGCUCUUCACCGACCCCUCCCAUUGUUUGUCAACCACAAGGUGGAAACUACCAUCCUAACCCCAGGAAAAAGGUGCCACCUACACUUGUGGUGCAACAACAUCCAUACAUGAAGUGUUCUAGGAUCGAUCUAUCCACAAAACCAUAUACUUGUAGGUUGACAUCUUGUAAAAUCUUUGUUAGAUCUACUCAUAAUUGUGCAUAUUCUUAUAUGAUCUAUUUUAUUUCUUUGUAUUAUUGAA